rnacentral:rRNA from 1 species
UAGAGUUUGAUCCUGGCUCAGGACUAGCGCUGGCGGUGUGUCUUAGACAUGCAAGUCGGGCGGGAUACAUUGUUGUAGCAAUACAGUGGUGUGUUUAGCGGCGAACGGGUGAGCAAUACAAGGGCAACCAACCCUUAGGAGGGGCACAACCCACCGAAAGGUGGGCUAAUACCCCAUGUUCUGCGGCGGAGGCAUCUCUGCCGUAGCAAAGGCGCUGCAAGGUGCCACCUUUGGACGGACUCUUGUCCUAUCAGCUUGAUGGCGGGGUAACGGCCCACCAUGGCAACGACGGGUAGCCGGCGUGAGAGCAUGACCGGCCACAGGGGAACUGCGAUACGGUCCCCACUCCUACGGGAGGCAGCAGUCUAGAAAUUUGGGCAAUGGGCGAAAGCCUGACCCAGCGACACCGCGUGGAGGAUGAAGUCUUUCGGGAUGUAAACUCCUGACAGGCGGAGCGAUGCCUUGCGCUCUAACUAAGCGCAGGGUGACGGUACUGCCAAAGGAAGCCCCGGCUAACUACGUGCCAGCAGCCGCGGUAAUACGUAGGGGGCAAGCGCUGUCCGGAUUCACUGGGUGUAAAGGGCGCGUAGGCGGAUUUGUAAGUCAGUGGUGAAAGCCUGUAGCUUAACUACAGAACUGCCUCUGAUACUGCGAAUCUUGAGUUCGGAAGAGAGAAGCGGAAUUCCAGGUGUAGUAGUGAAAUACGUAGAUAUCUGGAAGAACACCAGUGGCGAAGGCGGCUUCUUGGUCCGUAACUGACGCUGAGGCGCGAAAGCGUGGGGAGCAAACAGGAUUAGAUACCCUGGUAGUCCACGCUGUAAACGAUGAAUACUAGGUGUUGGAUACAUUUGUAUCCAGUGCCGCAGCAAACGCAUUAAGUAUUCCACCUGGGGAGUACGAUCGCAAGGUUGAAACUCAAAGGAAUUGACGGGGGCCCGCACAAGCAGUGGAGCAUGUGGUUUAAUUCGAUGCAACGCGAAGAACCUUACCUAGGCUUGAAAGGCAAGCGACCGAGUGUGAAAGCACUCUUCCAGCAAUGGCGCUUGUACAGGUGCUGCAUGGCUGUCGUCAGCUCGUGCCGUGAGGUGUUGGGUUAAGUCCCGCAACGAGCGCAACCCUCGUACUUAGUUGCCACCAUUCAGUUGGGCACUCUAGGUAGACUGCCGGCGUUAAGCCGGAGGAAGGUGGGGACGACGUCAAGUCAUCAUGGCCCUUAUGUCCAGGGCCACACACGUGCUACAAUGGACGGUACAAAGGGUCGCGAACCCGCGAGGGGGAGCCAAUCCCAAAAAGCCGUUCUCAGUUCGGAUUGGAGUCUGCAACUCGACUCCAUGAAGUUGGAAUCGCUAGUAAUCGCGGAUCAGCACGCCGCGGUGAAUACGUUCCCGGGCCUUGUACACACCGCCCGUCACACCAUGGAAGCCAGCUGUACCGGAAGUCGGUGCGUUAACCCGCAAGGGAGAUAGCCGCCUAUGGUAUGACUGGUGACUGGGGUGAAGUCGUAACAAGGUAGCCGUA